UACGAAGGGUGCAAACGUUGCUCGGAAUUAUUGGGCGUAAAGCGCACGUAGGCGGCUUUGCAAGUCCCAUGUGAAAGCCCACGGCUUAACCGUGGAAGUGCAUGGGAAACUGCAGAGCUUGAGUACUUAAGAGGAUCGCGGAAUUCUCGGUGUAGCGGUGAAAUGCGUAGAUAUCGAGAGGAACAGCCUGCGGCGAAGGCGGGUUGCUGGGCUGACACUGACGCUGAUGCGCGAAAGCUAGGGGAGCGAAGCGGG
rnacentral:rRNA from 1 species